UGGGUAACCUGCCCAUAAGACUGGGAUAACUCCGGGAAACCGGGGCUAAUACCGGAUAACAUUUUGAACUGCAUGGUUCGAAAUUGAAAGGCGGCUUCGGCUGUCACUUAUGGAUGGACCCGCGUCGCAUUAGCUAGUUGGUGAGGUAACGGCUCACCAAGGCAACGAUGCGUAGCCGACCUGAGAGGGUGAUCGGCCACACUGGGACUGAGACACGGCCCAGACUCCUACGGGAGGCAGCAGUAGGGAAUCUUCCGCAAUGGACGAAAGUCUGACGGAGCAACGCCGCGUGAGUGAUGAAGGCUUUCGGGUCGUAAAACUCUGUUGUUAGGGAAGAACAAGUGCUAGUUGAAUAAGCUGGCACCUUGACGGUACCUAACCAGAAAGCCACGGCUAACUACGUGCCAGCAGCCGCGGUAAUACGUAGGUGGCAAGCGUUAUCCGGAAUUAUUGGGCGUAAAGCGCGCGCAGGUGGUUUCUUAAGUCUGAUGUGAAAGCCCACGGCUCAACCGUGGAGGGUCAUUGGAAACUGGGAGACUUGAGUGCAGAAAGAGGAAAGUGGAAUUCCAUGUGUAGCGGUGAAAUGCGUAGAGAUAUGGAGGAACACCAGUGGCGAAGGCGA
rnacentral:rRNA from 1 species